AACGCACAUUGCGCUACGACAGUCAAUGUCGUAGCAUGUCUGGUCGAGUGUCGUUUCCAAAUCUCACAUCACAAAGUUACAUUUGUAUGUGACACUUUAGUUGAGAGUUCUAUUCAAUUCUAUUUACUUAGAAAUGUAUCGUCUCUUUAAAUUGAAAUGACACAGUUAUAUAUCGAAUUUGGAGCUAUAAGCUCAUACAUCUUUGAUAUAAGACAUUUUCCUAAAGUCCCAUGUGGUAAACGCCUCAUGGUUUCAACUGAAGGAUAUUAUGGUGUCUUAUUUUCAUUCGUAUGAUGCUUUCCUUAUUUGAUGUGUCGAUUCGAAAAAACACACAUAAGUUUCAAGGUGAAAGCUUUGAAUCCUUAAAACAAACUUUUUUCGGACAGACCUCGGCUCAGACAAGGCUACCCGCUGAAUUUAA
rnacentral:misc_RNA from 1 species